CAAGCUUUUCUGGUUCCAUUAUUGAACGAUGAAAUUGUUUGCCUUUUCGUUCAUAGUGCAUGUAAAGGGGCAUAUUGCCUAGCCUCGUCAAUCUUAUACAUUGUUAGUCCAGGUAUCAUAUUUUGAAGUUUAGAAUAUUUUGCGCGUGAACAGUUAUUUUCACGACAAAAAUGUCACGUACAAAUAAAGGCAACAAAGCGUCAAAAUACAGUCGUUCUUUUCUUUUCUUUUUUGUUAACGUUAAUACUGCAAAUAUUGACAUUUAAAUGUCUAAAAUGUUACUAAUAAUUGCAAAGUGAGGGAAUAUACAUCCUUCAGUUAUACUGCAACGG
rnacentral:lncRNA from 1 species